rnacentral:rRNA from 1 species
AUUGAACGCUGGCGGCAGGCCUAACACAUGCAAGUCGAACGAGUGGCGGACGGGUGAGUAAUGUAUGGGAAACUGCAUGAUGGAGGGGGAUAACUACUGGAAACGGUAGCUAAUACCGCAUACCAUAGGAUGUGCCCAGAUGGGAUUAGCUAGUAGGUGGGGUAAAGGCUCACCUAGGCGACGAUCCCUAGCUGGUCUGAGAGGAAGACCAGACACACCGGAAAGGAGACACGGUCCACACUCUGACGGGCGGCAGCAGUGGGGAAUAUUGCACAAUUGGCGCAAGCCUUCUGCAGCCAUGCCGCGGGGAUGAAGGAGGACCUCGGGUUGGAAAGGACUUUCAACGGGGAGGCGUUACCCGCAGAAGAAGCACCGGCUAACUCCGUGCCAGCAGCCGCGGUAAUAC